AAAGUUCCCUUCGGGGAGCAAGUAGAGUGGCGCACGGGUGAGUAACACGUAGGUAAUCUACCUUUGGAUUGGGAAUAACAACCGGAAACGGUUGCUAAUACCGAAUAAUGCAGCGGCACCUAAUGGUGACAGUUGUUAAAGCGGGGGAUCGCAAGACCUCGCGUCUGAAGAGGAGCCUGCGGCAGAUUAGCUAGUUGGUAGGGUAACGGCUUACCAAGGCUAUGAUCUGUAGCCGGCCUGAGAGGGCGGUCGGCCACACUGACACUGACAUACGGGUCAGACUCCUACGGGAGGCAGCAGUCGGGAAUUUUGGGCAAUGGGCGAAAGCCUGACCCAGCAACGCCGCGUGAAGGAUGAAAUCCUUCGGGAUGUAAACUUCGCAAGAACGGGAAGAAUAAGCCGGUGCAAAUAUCACCGGCGAUGACGGUACUGUUUGUAAGCUCCGGCUAACUCCGUGCCAGCAGCCGCGGUAAUACGGGGGGAGCAAGCGUUGUUCGGAUUUACUGGGCGUAAAGGGCGCGUAGGCGGCCACCGCAAGUCAGUUGUGAAAUCUCUGGGCUUAACCCAGAAAGGUCAACUGAUACUGCGGGGCUAGAGUGCAGAAGGGGCAACUGGAAUUCUCGGUGUAGCGGUGAAAUGCGUAGAUAUCGAGAGGAACACCUGCGGCGAAGGCGGGUUGCUGGGCUGACACUGACGCUGAGGCGCGAAAGCUAGGGGAGCGAACGGGAUUAGAUACCCCGGUAGUCCUAGCCUUAAACGAUGAAUGCUUGGUGUCUGGGGUUUUAUAGUCCCCGGGUG
rnacentral:rRNA from 1 species